ensembl:piRNA 21ur-15419 ncRNA
UAAUUCCAUAUAAUAUUUAUU